rnacentral:rRNA from 1 species
GAUGAACGCUGGCGGCGUGCCUAAUACAUGCAAGUCGAGCGAACAGAAGAGGAGCUUGCUCCUCUGACGUUAGCGGCGGACGGGUGAGUAACACGUGGAUAACCUACCUAUAAGACUGGGAUAACUUCGGGAAACCGGAGCUAAUACCGGAUAAUAAAUUGAAACGCAUGGUUCAAUAGUGAAAGACGGAUUUGCUGUACCUUAAAGAUGGACUCGGGUCGCAUUAGCUAGUUGGUAAGGUAACGGCUUACCAAGGCAACGAUGCGUAGCCGACCUGAGAGGGUGAUCGCCCACACUGGAACUGAGACACGGUCCAGACUCCUACGGGAGGCAGCAGUAGGGAAUCUUCCGCAAUGGGCGAAAGCCUGACGGAGCAACGCCGCGUGAGUGAUGAAGGUCUUCGGAUCGUAAAACUCUGUUAUUAGGGAAGAACAAAUGUGUAAGUAACUAUGCACGUCUUGACGGUACCUAAUCAGAAAGCCACGGCUAACUACGUG